AUUGAACGCUGGCGGCAUGCUUUACACAUGCAAGUCGAACGGCAGCGCGGGCUUCGGCCUGGCGGCGAGUGGCGAACGGGUGAGUAAUGCAUCGGAACGUGCCCAGUAGUGGGGGAUAGCCCGGCGAAAGCCGGAUUAAUACCGCAUACGACCUGAGGGUGAAAGCGGGGGACCGAAAGGCCUCGCGCUAUUGGAGCGGCCGUUGUCGGAUUAGCUAGUUGGUGGGGUAAAGGCUUACCAAGGCGACGAUCCGUAGCUGGUCUGAGAGGACGACCAGCCACACUGGGACUGAGACACAGCCCAGACUCCUACGGGAGGCAGCAGUGGGGAAUUUUGGGCAAUGGGGGCAACCCUGAUCCAGCCAUGCCGCGUGCGGGAAGAAGGCCUUCGGGUUGUAAACCGCUUUUGUUCGGGAAGAAAUCCUCUGGGCUAAUACCCCGGGGGGAUGACGGUACCGGAAGAAUAAGCACCGGCUAACUACGUG
rnacentral:rRNA from 1 species